UACGUAGGGGGCAAGCGUUGUCCGGAUUCAUUGGGCGUAAAGAGCGUGUAGGCGGCCAGGUAGGUCGGUUGUGAAAACUGGAGGCUCAACCUUCAGAGGUCGACCGAAACCAUCUGGCUAGAGUCCGGGAGAGGAGAGUGGAAUUCCUGGUGUAGCGGUGAAAUGCGCAGAUAUCAGGAGGAACACCAAUUGCGAAGGCAGCUCGCUGGGACGUUACUGACGCUGAGACGCGAAAGCGUGGGGAGCAAACAGG
rnacentral:rRNA from 1 species